rnacentral:rRNA from 1 species
AAAUUUGAAAUCUGGGUCUUUUAGGCUCCGAGUUGUAAUUUGUAGAAGAUGCUUUGGGUGUGGCUCCGGUCUAAGUUCCUUGGAACAGGACGUCAUAGAGGGUGAGAAUCCCGUAUGUGACUGGUUGCCUUCGCCUAUGUAAAGCUCUUUCGACGAGUCGAGUUGUUUGGGAAUGCAGCUCUAAAUGGGAGGUAUAUUUCUUCUAAAGCUAAAUAUUGGCCAGAGACCGAUAGCGCACAAGUAGAGUGAUCGAAAGAUGAAAAGCACUUUGGAAAGAGAGUUAAACAGUACGUGAAAUUGUUGAAAGGGAAGCGCUUGCAACCAGACUUGCAUGCUAUUAAUCAUCCUGAGUUUUCUCUGGUGCACUUGGUAGUAUUCAGGCCAGCAUCAGUUUCGGUGGUGGGAUAAAGGCCUUGGGAACGUGACUCCUCUCGGGGAGUGUUAUAGCCCUCGGUGCAAUGCCGCCUACUGAGACUGAGGACCGCGCUUCGGCUAGGAUGCUGGCGUAAUGGUUGUAAGCGACCCGUCUUGAAACACGGACCAAGGAGUCUAACAUCUAUGCGAGUGUUUGGGUGUUAAACCCAUACGCGUAAUUAACGUGAACGGAGGUGAGAACCCUUUAGGGUGCAUCAUCGACCGAUCCUGAUGUCUUCGGAUGGAUUUGAGUAAGAGCAUAGCUGUUGGGACCCGAAAGAUGGUGAACUAUGCCUAAAUAGGGUGAAGCCAGAGGAAACUCUGGUGGAGGCUCGCAGCGGUUCUGACGUGCAAAUCGAUCGUCAAAUUUGGGUAUAGGGGCGAAAGACUAAUCGAACCAUUGGGAACUUAUGUUACUAGGUGGGCAAAGAAGCCUAAGCCU